CAGCAUUCCUUGUCCUAGCUGGAUCUACGCCCCAGAGGGACAACUGAGGAAUUACUGCAGAAAGUAUUUUAAUUUAGCUGCAAAGACAGGCUUGUUGAGACAACUACAAAUGGUUACUCCCCUGAAGUGCCUCCUGCCUUGUCAGCCCUCCCUGCCCAGAAGAAACCCGGGUGUGAUCCUGGCUCUUCCCUGAUAACCUUCUUCAUGACAGAAACUGAAGCACCAUGCACAGGGUAUAUACAGAAAUUAAAAGGAGGAUACUAAAGCUCACUGGUCUAUAUCUGAUUCAAGAUGGGAAAUCCUA